rnacentral:rRNA from 1 species
GAUGAACGCUGGCGGCGUGCCUAAUACAUGCAAGUCGAGCGAACGGACGAGAAGCUUGCUUUUCUGAUGUUAGCGGCGGACGGGUGAGUAACACGUGGAUAACCUACCUAUAAGACUGGGAUAACUUCGGGAAACCGGAGCUAAUACCGGAUAAUAUUUUGAACCGCAUGGUUCAUAAGUGAAAGACGGUCUUGCUGUCACUUAUAGAUGGAUCCGCGCUGCAUUAGCUAGUUGGUAAGGUAACGGCUUACCAAGGCAACGAUGCAUAGCCGACCUGAGAGGGUGAUCGGCCACACUGGAACUGAGACACGGUCCAGACUCCUACGGGAGGCAGCAGUAGGGAAUCUUCCGCAAUGGGCGAAAGCCUGACGGAGCAACGCCGCGUGAGCGAUGAAGGUCUUCGGAUCGUAAAACUCUGUUAUUAGGGAAGAACAUAUGUGUAAGUAACUGUGCACAUCUUGACGGUACCUAAUCAGAAAGCCACGGCUAACUACGU